GACAGAGAGAACCUAGAAGCGACCUCUAGAAGGAGACUCCAGCUCCCAAAACCAGGUAACAACUCUGCAUAAGGAUCAUUGGUCAGUUUUGUCUUGUGUACACAUCUUUCCCUGCCUUACAGUUUACUUUACAACCUUAUCAUGCCUCUUGUGGGACAAAACUUUAAUUUUAUAAUCAUAGAUUAAAAGCAUAUUUUUUUGUGUCUUUUUGAGACAAGAGUUUCACUAUGUAGUUCAGGCUGGACUCAAACUCUCAGUGAUCUUCCUGCCUCAGCCUCCCGAGUGCUGGGAUUACAGGCAUGCACAAAAAAAGCAUGAUUAAAUAAAAGACAGUUAGAGGGGAGCAUACAAAGCAAGAAGGUGCUGCUCAGUGCAGUACCACAAAGUGAGUGCUGUCCAGCCCCCCAGCUUUUAACUUAGGAAAACGAUCUGGCCAUCGGUGGCUUCUGCGAUCCUCUCCACGUACGUGACAGCUGGCUGGAAGGCCAUUGUAUCUCACAGCUAUGUCGUCGCCACCUUUUUCUAAGCCUGUAUCUCUGAACACCAUCGUUCAGUUCUUCCCCCUUGGGGGCCUUUAUUUAAAUGAAAACGCACUUUCCAUGAUCUCAGUGUUUUGGUGUGUUCUUUCACUUCACUUGUUUGGAAACUGAGGAGAUGGUUCUAAAAUCUGUACGGAAAUUGAAGGGCCGAGAAAAUCUAUGACCACCUUAAAGGAAGCCAUAGCUGGAGACGCAAACCCGCUCCUUGCAUGGAUGCCCCACCGCGGGUUCAUCGGUCCGGAGGUCGCAGUCAUGUGUCAUCCAGCUGGUGCCCGCCAUGAACACAGCUCACGCUAACCAUGCACCUCCUCCUGUCCAUCCUGUGUGGAGCUCAGGCAAGCAUUUCCUUGGGGUCUCUGCCUGCCAAGGAGAUCAUAGUGAGGGGCAGUUGUCUGGCGCUCUGCGACUUCCGGCUCCUCCCCAGAGUCAAAACGACCAUGCAGGAUCAAUGUUCUGAAUCCAUGCAGGACAUCGAGGCAGCCGGGACAGUGCAACUACAGACACUCAGGAAAGAAGACUCCAGAGCAGCUGCAGAAGGUGGUCAGAACGUGGACUGCGUGAUGGAGGUGGGACAUCGGGGAAGGGAGCGGCUCCCCAAGAUCCGAAGAUGCCGGAGCGGGAGUGUGAGCAGAAGCCCACUAUUCUCCCUUAAAGAAUCAGCUGAGGUCACUUCUCCCAGAAAGUCCACCUGCACGAGCUGGGUUAGAACACCUUCCCUAUGUCACUGUGAAGGUAACACUUACAUCCACAAAUUACAUCCUUCUGCUUGCUGGUUUCUUGCUGGUUGCUGCUCUGCAUUCCAUGUUUCCCUGGCUCAUGCCUUUGUCUUCCAGGAGCUCAGCCCAAAGGUUUGGUGCCAUGGUUGGCUAUACAAGGUGCCCAGGAGAUGUUUGCUGAAGGAACAAGCAACUCUAGAAAUCUCCUAUCUGUGCUGACAGCAGAUUGAGCGAGUGGGAAAACGGAGCAGAACAAGAUCACUAAGCUAAAGAGACAAGAACAUCCAUAGGGGAGGGAUUCUGAGUCCCAAGGAAGGCAGGCCUCCCACCACACCCAAAGCAGUGUGGUGUGCCCUAGGUAUUUUUUAUUAAAUUAAGUUUCUCUUCAGAACAUUGUAGAUUCACACAUAGUUGUAAGAAACUGUGCAGAGAGAGCUGCAGGCAUGCCCUUAACUUAUUUCCCCCCGACAGUAACGUCUUGCAACACUAUAGUAUGAUAUCACCAUCGGUAGGGCAUUAAUAUAAAGUAUAAUAAAAAUAUGGUGAAUACUUUGAAAAAGUAUUACAGUAAAAGGCACACUGCCAUUAAUCAACCUCAAAAUACUCCUCCUCAAUUCAAAAACAUUUAUCCCAUUGUUCUUGCCACCUUCUGAAGCAGCUCUGAAAGUCUUCUUCUCUGAGUGUCCUUAGUUUAGCUGUCGUGGCUGCCUCCAAGUCCUGCAUGGAUUCAGAACGCUUCCCUUUCAGUUUCUUUCCAAGCCACACGCAGCUGUGGCCAUGACAAGGGCGUGGCAGAGUGGGCAG
ensembl:lincRNA